rnacentral:rRNA from 1 species
GACGGGGGGGGCAAGUGUUCUUCGGAAUUACUGGGCGUAAAGGGCUCGUAGGCGGCCAACUAAGUCCGACGUGAAAUCCCAAGGCUUAACCUUGGAACUGCGUCGGAUACUGGAUGGCUUGAAUUCGGGAGAGGGAUGCAGAAUUCCAGGUGUAGCGGUGAAAUGCGUAGAUAUCGUAAGGAAGACCAGUGGCGAAGGCGGGUCUCUGGACAGUUCCUGACGCUGAGGCACGAAGGCCAGGGGAGCAAACGGG